rnacentral:lncRNA from 10 species
CUGCAGGCAAAUGAAGGACUGGUUUGGGGAGACAAAUGAGGGUCAAAAUAUCAAGAUUAGGCAUUUUGGAGAAGUAGACUUUCAAAACAAAACAAAACAGAAAAUCCAGGUAUACGUCAGACAAGUGGGAUGUGACAAGCCAGACACUCUGCCAGGUUCCUACAAGGGGAGUGUGGGUUUGAGAUUCUGUUCAUCUUGAGUUUAAAAGCAGUGGAUUUUGGUGAAAAAGGAUGUCAGGUUAAAAAGGAAUAUCUGCACCCAGGGAGGCAGAUUCUUUCACAUAUUCCUUAUGCUAGAAAUAUUCUCCUUUUUCAACUAUUUAUUUUUAGGUGGAUAAAAUGCCAAGGUGUGGAAUCAGUCUUUGGAUGGAGGACGCUUUCUACCAUAAAGAGAGAAAUGGUUUCCUUCUGCAGCCUCGAGGAAAGAAGCGUUCUAUAAGCUUUGGUGUUUAUUUUCUUCUCAUCUAAUGCUAGAGGCCGGAAGGUGCUGUAAUCUACUGCAAACUCAGAGUGCUGCAAACAUGCCCUUCAGAUAAGCAGUGUUCAGCAGACUUGGCACUGCGACUCAACCUGUUUGCCGUAAUCCAGCAACUCCACGCUACUCCAUAAAAAAAAAAAUCCUUGCAAGAAGCUGAAGGACAGGAAGUGCACUGACAUCCUACAAGUGCCUUUUGAUUGACAAUCUGACAUUGAAUUCCUGGAUGGCCCUCCCCGUUCAGCAAAACACAGCAAUCUUGAGAUGGCAGAGAUGGUCACCAAAGCUGGCCAUGGUGUCAGGACUAAGUUGGUGAGUGAUGACAGAUCCUUACUCCUAGGUUGAUCCCUGGGCAGUUUUAAUGUCUGCACCCAGGGACACUCAGUUGGUUUAAACCUUCAUGAAAUCAGCAUUCUCAAAUGAAUGCGCAGUGUCUUUAAUGUGUCUCGGUUCCUCUACUCUCUUCCCCACUCCACAUCAUUUUCAUCGCUAAGAGUUCCCAGGAACUUACAUGCUUACCUGAGCUGUUAACCUCAAGAGUCUUAUUAGCAACAUGUUAUGAUCGCUACAUUCAACAUAGCUCUAUUUUUAGGUUCCUAUUAUAACCCACAGUGAAUCUUCCUCGGAUGCUCCCUUCUCUCUGGAAACGAGCCGAUGCAUAAAAUAUUCCUACUACAGAUUUUUAGGCCGGGCGCGGUG